GCUGGCGUGGUGGAAUUGGCAGACACGCUAUCUUGAGGGGGUAGUGGGCUACCGCCCGUGGGGGUUCGAGUCCCCCCGCCAGCA
rnacentral:tRNA from 1 species